rnacentral:rRNA from 1 species
UGGGGAAUUUUGGACAAUGGGCGAAAGCCUGAUCCAGCAAUGCCGCGUGUGUGAAGAAGGCCUUCGGGUUGUAAAGCACUUUUGUCCGGAAAGAAAUCCUUGGCUCUAAUACAGUCGGGGGAUGACGGUACCGGAAGAAUAAGCACCGGCUAACUACGUGCCAGCAGCCGCGGUAAUACGUAGGGUGCAAGCGUUAAUCGGAAUUACUGGGCGUAAAGCGUGCGCAGGCGGUUUGCUAAGACCGAUGUGAAAUCCCCGGGCUCAACCUGGGAACUGCAUUGGUGACUGGCAGGCUAGAGUAUGGCAGAGGGGGGUAGAAUUCCACGUGUAGCAGUGAAAUGCGUAGAGAUGUGGAGGAAUACCGAUGGCGAAGGCAGCCCCCUGGGCCAAUACUGACGCUCAUGCACGAAAGCGUGGGGAGCAAACAGGAUUAGAUACCCUGGUAGUCCACGCCCUAAAACGAUGUCAACUAGUUGUUGGGGAUUCAUUUCCUUAGUAACGUAGCUAACGCGUGAAGUUGACCGCCUGGGGAGUACGGUCGCAAGAUUAAAACUCAAAUGAA